UACGGGGGGGGCAAGCGUUGUUCGGAAUUACUGGGCGUAAAGGGUUCGUAGGUGGCCACUUAAGUCAGACGUGAAAUCCCUCAGCUUAACUGGGGAACUGCGUCUGAUACUGCGUGGCUUGAGUGCAGGAGAGGAAUGCGGAAUUCCAGGUGUAGCGGUGAAAUGCGUAGAUAUCUGGAGGAACACCGGUGGCGAAGGCGGCAUUCUGGACUGUAACUGACACUGAUGAACGAAAGCCAGGGGAGCAAACGGG
rnacentral:rRNA from 1 species